rnacentral:lncRNA from 1 species
CUGUCUUGACUUCCAUUGGUGAACAGCAAUAAGCCAAAUAAAGUCUUUUCCCCCAAAGUUGCUUUGGUCAUGGUGUUUCAUUACAGCAACAGAAAUCCUAACCAAGACAGUUACCCACCAUAUUAAUAUGAUGGACAGGAAGAGUUUGGGCAAGAGAGCCAGACUAGGAGGAUGCUGGGAAGAAGAAGGAUGGAGUCUCAGGAGUCACCAGGCAGACACAGAGGAAGCAGGAUGUGUACCAAUGAGGUAACAAGCCGUGAGCCACAUGGUAGAACUUAGCUCCCAAACAAUACAGCCAACUGUCAACAAAUAGAACCUAAUGGAAUUCCAAAGUUUCUGUACAGCAAAGGAAAUAGUUUCGUAAAGAG